CAUGUAUCAGAUAUUAAACUGAUAAGAACAGAUACUACACUUGAUCUUAACCAAGAGGCCGAGAAAGGUAUGGUUUAAACCGUGGCCUUGUGUCCCCUUUUAUUGCCCUGCAAACCGCCUUCGCUCAAGCGCAAAGCAGUACGGGACUAUUCCACCCAAAGAGUUAGCUGCGUUCGUUUCUUUCCGUUUGGGCUAUUCCAAGAAGCCCGUGAACAAGGUCGGGCCCCACAGGCAUCGAUGGCCCAGUUUGUUCGGCUUGGACGAAUUGGGCUACUACUUCUUAGCUGGCGCACCAGAUUAGGCAAAAAAAACCGAGAUUUUCUUUCUCCUAGAACAACAGAGGUUCCCUUGUUCAAAAAUAAAGGACUAAGUGAGAUUAAAUAA
rnacentral:rRNA from 1 species